CACGCCGGAGGAGGUCGAGCGGAGGGAGAGGCGCUCGCCGGCAUCCCUCGCCUGGGCCCGCACCCGCCGCCAUGAGCGUCGGUCUCCAAAGGAAUUUGCCUUUGUGUGCUCCCCCCAGCCGGCCCUGUGGAGCCUGCAGGGUGGUGCGGUGGGGAGGAAGAAGAGACUCUUCAGUUCAGAGGUGCUGCUGCUCUUCAUCCCCUCACUGCUGCUCAGCCAUCUGCUGACCCUGGGGCUGGGGAUCUACAUUGGGAAGCGGCUGGCAGCCUCCUCGGAAAACCCGCUGUGAAGAGCUAGCCGCAGCGACAGACAGGUGGCUCCACUCCCCUGCUCCUCCAGUCGGCGUGUGGAGGGAGUCCAGGCACCAGCACAGCCCAUCUGGUCCCAGACUUCAUGUUUGCGGCGCAAGGCGCCGUCUCCCCUUGUCCCUUCCCUCGCUCUGGCCUAGGGAGCCGAUCCUUUCCCUCUCCUGUAGCCAGAAACCCAUUGAUGGCGGCUCCCUGCUGCAGGCAGCCCCUGCCCUCUCCAUCCCUUGGCUGCGGGUGCAGGGUCCUCCUGCUUACUACGGAAGACUGUAAAUACAGCUCCUGAGCCUGCAACAGCGCGUGUAAAUAAAUAAC